rnacentral:hammerhead_ribozyme from 1 species
AUCCAACUGACGAGUACUAAAUAAGACGAAACAUGCGUCUUGGAU